UGGGGAAUAUUACACAAUGGGCGAAAGCCUGAUGCAGCAACGCCGCGUGAGCGAUGAAGGCCUUCGGGUCGUAAAGCUCCGUCCUCAAGGAAGAUAAUGACGGUACUUGAGGAGGAAGCCCCGGCUAACUACGUGCCAGCAGCCGCGGUAAUACGUAGGGGGCUAGCGUUAUCCGGAUUUACUGGGCGUAAAGGGUGCGUAGGCGGUCUUUUAAGUCAGGAGUGAAAGGCUACGGCUCAACCGUAGUAAGCUCUUGAAACUGGAGGACUUGAGUGCAGGAGAGGAGAGUGGAAUUCCUAGUGUAUCGUUUAAAUGCGUAGAUAUUAGGAGGAACACCAGUCACGACGGCGGCUCUCUGGAGCGUAACCGACGUUGAGGCACGAAAGCUUGGGGAGCAAACA
rnacentral:rRNA from 1 species